AUUGAACGCUGGCGGAAUGCUUUACACAUGCAAGUCGAACGGUAGAGGGGGCAACCCCUCGAGAGUGGCGAACGGGUGAGUAAUAUAUCGGAACGUGCCCAGUCGUGGGGGAUAACGUAGCGAAAGUUACGCUAAUACCGCAUACGAUCUAAGGAUGAAAGCGGGGGAUCGCAAGACCUCGCGCGCUUGGAGCGGCCGAUAUCAGAUUAGGUAGUUGGUUGGGUAAAGGCUCACCAAGCCAACGAUCUGUAGCUGGUCUGAGAGGACGACCAGCCACACUGGAACUGAGACACGGUCCAGACUCCUACGGGAGGCAGCAGUGGGGAAUUUUGGACAAUGGACGCAAGUCUGAUCCAGCCAUUCCGCGUGCAGGAUGAAGGCCCUCGGGUUGUAAACUGCUUUUGUACGGAACGAAAAGGUCUCUCUUAAUCCGGGGGGCUCAUGACGGUACCGUAAGAAUAAGCACCGGCUAACUACGUGCCAGCCGCCGCAGUAA
rnacentral:rRNA from 1 species